ACAGCAGUCGCCGCGGUAAUACGUAGGGGGCAAGCGUUAUCCGGAAUUACUGGGUGUAAAGGGAGCGUAGACGGUUAAACAAGUCUGAAGUGAAAUGCCGGGGCUCAACCCCGGAGCUGCUUUGGGAACUGUAGAACUGGAGUGUCGGAGGGGUAAGCGGAAUUCCCAGUGUAGCGGUGAAAUGCGUAGAUAUUGGGAGGAACACCGGCGGCGAAGGCGGCUUACUGGACGACAACUGACGUUGAGGUUCGAAGGCGUGGGUAGCAAACAGGAUUAGAUACCCCUGUAGUCCCUGUCUCUUAUAC
rnacentral:rRNA from 1 species